AGUCAGUUGGCUGCUGUGAGGACAAGGAAGAGUCAGUGCCCAGAGGAGCUGCCUACAAGAAACAUCAAGGAGACAGCAGCUGGCAUGCUUGAGGCGCUCUCCCAAAUGGGUACAGCAAGGUUGUGGCUAAAAUGUGAUGGCUCCCUGCUCUGCUUGUUCUGCUCCUGCAAAAACAACCCAGGUGUCUGAAGAAUGAUUUUGAAUUUUGAGACUGUCAUUUGAGAUCUCCAAUUGAUUCCAGAACAGACAGUCUGAAUUAUCUGCAUUCCCAGAAUCUGCAGCACCUGUGCAUGGCUUGGGAGGAGAAUUUUGAAGUGUUUUGGACAACAGAGAAAAACCUGCAGCACACAGAGGAUAAAAGAUUUGGAUGUAAUUCCUCUUGAGCUCCCAGCUGCAUCCAUAGGCUGCAAGAGAGAAGCAGUGUUUUAACUGCCCAAAGAGCAGAGUAAUCUGCAGCUGGUACAUGUUUGUUUUGAGGGGGAGUUUUGUUCCUCUCUAACAUACAGAUUUAGCAAGAAUUGCACUCACUGAUCCCCUCUCCCAAUCCCCCUUCACUUCAUAUUCUUUCCCUUCCCCAAUUCCAAGGUGUUUUUGGGUUUUUUAAGCCCUUCCCACUGGGCUAGAUGAUGCCAAUUAGCUUUAAGAUCAUUCCUAGGGGGGUUUUUGAUUUGUGCUUUGCCCCCAGCUAUCUUCCUAGGCAGUGCAGGGAAGUGAGCCAGUCUUCAAAGCUGCUGAAGGCUGAGAGUUCCUUCAGAGCAGGGAAACAGCUGGGGAGUUUGUCCCCCUUUGAAAGCAGGGCUGAGUGUUUAUCUGCCCUGUUUGAUCAGUGAUCCUCCUGUCAGGAUUACUCUGCUAUUGACUGGUUACCUUGUCUUGGCUCUGAACCCAGCUUAACUCAAUUAGCCAAAUUUUCCUUCCCUGGGUUUGCCUGCCUGCUUUCUUCUCUGAGCUUUCUCUGCAGAUCAAACUCUGCUGAGCUAAAGAGCUGAGCUAGCUAAAUCCCCCCAGUAGUCUCAUUCAGGGUUUUGUUAUGACUCACGGGACUUGACGAAAUGAAAAACAAACAAAUAAAUGAGCUUUUCCUCAAAUGCUA